rnacentral:rRNA from 1 species
CCUACGGGGGACAGCAGUGAGGAAUAUUGGUCAAUGGCCGAGAGGCUGAACCAGCCAAGUCGCGUGAGGGAAGACGGCCCUACGGGUUGUAAACUGCUUUUAUACGGGAAUAACGCGCCUUACGUGUAGGGCUUUGCAUGUACCGUAUGAAUAAGGACCGGCUAAUUCCGUGCCAGCAGCCGCGGUAAUACGGAAGGUCCGGGCGUUAUCCGGAUUUAUUGGGUUUAAAGGGAGCGUAGGCCGCAUGACAAGCGUGCUGUGAAAUGUCCGGGCUCAACCCGGGCCUUGCAGCGCGAACUGGCGUGCUUGAGUCCGCGGAAAGCAGGCGGAAUUCGUCGUGUAGCGGUGAAAUGCUUAGAUAUGACGAAGAACCCCGAUUGCGAAGGCAGCUUGCUGCAGCGGAACUGACGCUGAUGCUCGAAAGCGCGGGUAUCGAACAGGAUUAGAUACCCCAGUAGUC